UACGGGGGGGGGCAAGCGUUUGUUCGGAAUUACUGGGCGUAAAGCGCGUGUAGGCGGGUCGUUAAGUUGGGGGUGGAAAUCCCGAGGCUCGAACCUCGGAACUGCCUCCAAAACUCGGCGACCUGGAGCAAGAUAGAGGCGAGUGGAAGUUCCGAGUGUAGAGGUGAAAUUCGGUAGAUAUUCGGAGGAACACCAGUGGCGAAGGCGACUCGCUGGAGUCUU
rnacentral:rRNA from 1 species